rnacentral:rRNA from 1 species
AUGAAUUGCCUAGUGUGGAACUGUCUAGGGGCGGGGAACCCUCACACAGUUCGUGACUUACAGGCUCUAUGUAGAGCCAAUUCACCGAGGAUGGUGUUUCUGUUUGAGACUAGGCAACAAUUGAAUAAGAUGAAGAGGAUGCGUAAUCGGUUAGGGCUCUGUGGUUUUGAUGGCAUAAGUAGUCAAGGGAAGAGUGGUGGCCUUGCGUUAUUUUGGGAUGAU